rnacentral:pre_miRNA from 1 species
AAAGUACUCCCUCCGUCCCAAAAUUAUUGUCUUAGAUUUGUCUAGAUACGGAUGUAUCAAGUCACAUUUUAGUAUUAGAUACAUCCGUAUCUAGACAAAUCUAAGACAAGAAAUUUGGGACAGAGGGAGUAGUUG